CUACUAAAGAAAAAAAAGUUCACAAUAGAAACUAUGCCAUUACACUCAGUUUAAACAGAAGUAAAAUAAUGUAGCAGAAAGGACAUUUAUGUACUCCAAGUUAGAGGCACCAAAACAUAAGAACAAGAACAGAAACAAGAAGAAGAGAAUGGAGAAGAACAAAACUAUGCAGACGUCUGGGCAUCUUAUUGGGAUUAACCUAGUCCCGUUGUUCAGGAGGAUCCAACAAGUGGCCCAUAAAAAUACAAACGAACAUAUACGGAUGGGCAUAAUAAUUUAUGCGCUUUGCUCCACUUUCAGUUCGCCGAGUGCGAAGUACCACAUUGCCUGCCUUCCUGCCGCUCUAUUCUCUGUUUGCUGAUGCUUAUACGACGUGUUUACGUUUUCUUUGUGCGACUCAUCCUCACACUGAGACAGAGACAGAAACUGAGACUAAGAAUGGGGGAGAGGGUAGCACAAAAAAAAGUGAAGCAAAUGCUUAAAGGCAGAAAGAAUAAA